AAAGACAACGGGGUAGAUUUUCUUUACACCCAGAAAGUUGGCAGGGCACCAGAGUCAGCACAGGAUGUGUGCCCAGCAAGACUGUGGGUUCCUAUCGUAUGCCCUACAUCUUUUACAGCGUAGCACAGAAGCGGAGCCCGCAGUUGUUCCAUGUCUGAGACCACCUCACGUGAGUUUUCCUGAGUCUGGAGAACAACGGAUCACUGAGAAUAUUUUGGAGUGCUAAGUGCAGAGCCAGAGCUUGAGCAUUCUGCCCUCUUUUGAGAGUUCCCCUUUGAAAAACCCCAACAAAACCCCAAAGCCACAGCAGCAGUACGCAGUUGCUGUGGUAAGCAGAAGAAAGCUCUCCUGCUGGCUGCCCUCUCCUGCCUCCCAGCUCUCGCCCGCUGAAUGCAGGAGCAUGUGAGGCCACACAGUGACCUGAAUGAGGGAAUUAGUCUGGAUUAAAAUUAACCAAGGGAAAAAAAAAAAAAAAAAAAAAAAAAAAAGGGUGCGUGUGUGGGAUUAGUUCUCGUGAGGCCAAAGAGGGAGAUGACCUCAGGGUGAGAGCUGGUGGCAGGAGGCGGACAGGCUGGGACUGAUCUGUCUGCCAGGAGGUGGCUCAGUGUGCGAUCGCCAAACCGUGGUGCCCCUGCCAGGGCCGGGCUGCAGGUUUUCCGUUCCCCAGCCUCGUGCAGGCCUGUCUAUUGAAUGGGCUUCUGCAGCUCAGCAAGUGCAGAGAAAUGUCUCUGCAUGAGCCAGUUGCUGCUGGGCGCUUAACGCUCCGAAGCACGAGCUUAAUGCUCAGAAGCUUUCUGCUUCUGCCCCAGCUGUGGUUCCUGUGGCCUGGAAACGGUCCACCUGGGCCUCGCCUUUCCCUCUGGGCGCUGCUGGCAAUGCACAGCCUAUGGUUUGGUUCCCUGUCUGACUGGAAGAGUGGGUUAGGUUUGGCCUCUUCAGGAUAUCUCUAGCUGAGGUGAUGGCAUCAAGGACCAAACGAGGUCAGGCUGGAGGGGCUGUGAGUAGCCUGAUGUAUCUGUAGGUGUCCCUGUUCAUUGUGAGGGAGUUGAACCAGACGGCCUUUGGGGGUCCCUACCACUCAAACCAUUCAAUGAUUCUAGGAAAUAACACAGGAUAGGGCAAAAAUACUGCCUGGUAUUUACCUCAUCUCCUUUCCUUAGGCAUUUCAGACAUCCAGAGGACAUCCAGAGGACACAUUCAGUGCCACAUAGGUGCCUUGUAAUUGGCCCACACUGUCCUGGUGGUCUCUUACCAUGCUGAGCACACUGCUAUCCCUUAAAUAAUGCUAAAAAUAAGUAGUGAUUAUUAUUAAUUCCUGGGUUUGUUGCUUCACCGGCUCAGGUAGAUAACAGUGGUUAUUGGUGAGUCUGAAGUCCUGCUGAGAGCAUUCCGUGUGGAAUUCAGUACGAAAUGAAUUUCCUUUGAAGGAAAAGAAGGAUAAUCAAUGGCUCACAUCAAUGGCUGGGGAUGGGAGCAUCCCACCUACAAAACGAUCGAGCCCUUCAAGAAGCUUCAAACACUGUUAAAAUCAGAAGUGAGGGGAACUAACCCUUCCUCUGCCCCCUCCACUCCAGAGUCAGAGGAGGAAUCGAACGCUGCAGCUCCUGAUGUCAGAAUUACCUCUGGAGGGAAAACAACCGCCUCGGGACCCAGGUGGGAUUUCAGGACAACCAAGGAAAUGCAGAGUGCGGCGGUGGCAAAUCUUCACAUGAAUAAGUGAACGAGUGCAUAGUCUUGUUAGAGUGCCCAGAAGAUGCUCUCAAAGAAGUUUCCGAACCCCAGAAAGUCCUCGUUGCUCCCACCUUACAUGUUUUGCUCUGCCCUCCGCUGCUCGCAGACAGCAGCAGAAGCCCCCCCCCCGUCCUUUGAUUUACAAUUAAAUUAAGAAUUACGUUGGUAAAAAGCAGCGCUUUUCCCCGCCUGCUUCGUUUUGUGCCUCCAGGCUGUGCAGACCCCUAUGGCUCGCUGUGCAAGAGGCAGCGUCACACGGCUCGCGAGGAGCUGCAGGAACUGAAACCCGUUCUAUGAUUUAUGGCACUAAUAAGGCUCAACUGCCAUUUCUUGUGGUUUCCUCCCAAGUUGCCUUUGAUAAUUUCUACUUGCACCGUGUUUAUUGUUGCUGCUGCUAGGGUUCAGUUGGCAGGUAACUGUUGCACUGUUUCGCAGGGUCGGCUCUUUUUGGCUCUCUCAGUUGCGUGCUUGUUAUUAAUAAACAUUUCUGUCUGGGGAGCGCCAGGAGGGGCAGGGAGGCACCGGCUCCUGCUUCACCCCAUCCUGCCCGGUGCUGCCGGAGCAAUGAACUUCCAGACCUGGCACUGGGAGCCCUCACACUGGGCAGAGCAAGUCCCAGUGGCGGGGCUGGUGCUUUCUGGUGGCGGAACACGGUGCCAAGAGGUUGCAAUGGCAGACAAUCGAGAUCGUACUGCGGCUGGGGAGAAAGGAGCGUGUGAGGGGAUUGGAAGUGGAGAGACUUCACAGGGAGCAGCCAGAGUAAAUGUACUCUGCGUCCCGUGCAGCCUGCCGGCUGGACCUUUCCCGCUUUGUUGCUGAAGAAGCAGGAAUAAGAAAGGGGAGGGUAAAGAAGACGUCAGGAAAUCCAAGUGGAAAUGAAAAUAAGAAAUGGGUAGGAUUCAGCUCCCUAACCGUAGGCAAGAAGAGAUAUAUGAGAUACUUCAGGUCUCCCUUCAGCGGCAGCUUUACAAAGGCACGGUAUCUGUUAGGUCCUCCGUCAUGUCCGCAGCUGCGUGCAGACGCUGUGAAUGCUCCAGCACAUCUAGCAGGCUGCAGGCACCCUGGCUUGAGCAGCAAAACCAGCUGGGAAUAAAACAGACAUUUUCUAACAGAUGCAUGGAGUUUUAAGGGUUCAGAAAACCACCGACAUAUUUGGAAGGACUGAAAAAUAACAUUCUCCCUUGCGCAAGUGUGUGAAAAUCUCCUUACAAUCAGUGUCAAGGCAAUAACACAUGGUGUGCCAGCCCGAUUGUAUUUGCUGCCAUCUUCCUUAUAUGUGCCAUCGGCUGGCAGGCAAGUGCAGAAUAGGGGUUUCCAAAAGCUGUUCUUUUUAAUGUGAAAUUCCCUCUUGGUGUGUUGAACUCAUUUGUGCCUUCAGCUUGUAAGGUGUUAAAUACAGGAUCCUGGCCUUUCUGUGGCUUGUCCUCUCUCUUCUAUCAUACACAUGCACAUGCAUAUAUGAAGUUUAUAACUCAUCCUAGAGUUGUGUGAAAAGCAUACUUGGUGAUGCUCAUGACAAGAUAUUCACUAUUUGCCUGAAAAUCUCAUAAAUAAGCAUUUACCAUCAGCCCAAUCUAAUCUAAUCAUAAUCAAUACCGAUACUGUGAGAUCUUGUAAAACAUGACCUGCAUGGCAAGUUCUGCCACUUGCUAAUUACGCCCUUGGAGGCAGCAGUCAAUAGCUCCCAAGGGUUAGAUGGUUCCUACUUAGUCAGGUGUUUUCAGAGACUACCACUGACAUUCACUAAGGACUUGAACAACCACACAAAAACUUCAUACUAUGGCGUACAAAAUAAAAGGUGUUUGAAAGAUA